AACUCGGCAAAUUUAAUUUUCGCCUGUUUAACAAAAACAUGUCCUAUAGAUUAUUGAUUUUAGGUCUAACCUGCCCAAUGAUUAUAAUUUAAUGGCUGCAGUAUUAUAACUGUACAAAGGUAGCAUAAUCAUUUGUCUUUUAAUUGAAGGCUUGAAUGAAUGGUUGGACGAAAAAUUAACUUUCUUUACUUAAUUUUUAUGAAUUUAAUUUUUUAGUUAAAAAGCUUAAAUGUUUUUGCAAGACGAGAAGACCCUAUAGAAUUUUAUUUUAUUAAUUUUAUUAUUUAUUUGGUUUUUAAUUUAUUUAAUAUAA
rnacentral:rRNA from 1 species